rnacentral:tRNA from 1 species
GGCGGGUUGCCCGAGCGGCCAAUGGGAGCGGACUGUAAAUCCGUCGGCUGAUGCCUUCCAAGGNNUUCGAAUCCUUGACCCGCCA